AGUUUAGAAUCAGCAUCGACAGUUUAGAACCAAAAAUAUUCUUUGUCUCCACGUAUUGCUCUUUUCUCCGUUAUCUCAAAGCCUGACUGACUGGUGACAAAGAUGAAUUUGGCUAC